rnacentral:rRNA from 1 species
ACGUCGAAUUGGCGGAGUGCCAACUCUGAUGUAACGACGUUUCUUCUGAGUGGUACAAGCAAAUAAUCAAAACUUUUAACAACGGAUCUCUUGGUUCUGGCAUCGAUGAAGAACGCAGCGAAAUGCGAUAAGUAAUGUGAAUUGCAGAAUUCAGUGAAUCAUCGAAUCUUUGAACGCACAUUGCGCCCGCCAGCAUUCUGGCGGGCAUGCCUGUUCGAGCGUCAUUUCAACCCUCAAGCUCUGCUUGGUGUUGGGGCCCUACAGCUGAUGUAGGCCCUCAAAGGUAGUGGCGGACCCUCCCGGAGCCUCCUUUGCGUAGUAACUUUACGUCUCGCACUGGGAUCCGGAGGGACUCUUGCCGUAAAACCCCCAAUUCUCCAAAGGUUGACCUCGGAUCAGGUAGGAAUACCCGCUGAACUUAAGCAUAUCAAAAGGGGAAGGGAA